rnacentral:rRNA from 1 species
UACGGGGGGGGCAAGCGUUGUUCGGAAUUACUGGGCGUAAAGGGCUCGUAGGUGGCCAACUAAGUCAGACGUGAAAUCCCUCGGCUUAACCGGGGAACUGCGUCUGAUACUGGAUGGCUGGAGUAUGGGAGAGGGAUGCGGAAUUCCAGGUGUAGCGGUGAAAUGCGCAGAUAUCAGGAGGAACACCGGUGGCGAAGGCGGGUCUCUGGGCCGAUACUGACGCUGAGGAGCGAAAGUGUGGGGAGCGAACAGG